UACGUAGGGUGCAAGCGUUGUCCGGAAUUAUUGGGCGUAAAGAGCUCGUAGGCGGUUUGUCGCGUCGGCUGUGAAAACUCGGGGCUCAACCCCGAGCCUGCAGUCGAUACGGGCAAACUUGAGUGUGGUAGGGGAGGCUGGAAUUCCUGGUGUAGCGGUGAAAUGCGCAGAUAUCAGGAGGAACACCGGCGGCGAAGGCGGGUCUCUGGGCCAUAACUGACGCUGAGGAGCGAAAGCGUGGGGAGCGAACAGG
rnacentral:rRNA from 1 species